rnacentral:rRNA from 1 species
GACGAACGCUGGCGGCGUGCUUAACACAUGCAAGUCGAACGGAAAGGCCUUUUCGGAGGUACUCGAGUGGCGAACGGGUGAGUAACACGUGGGUGAUCUGCCCUGCACUCUGUGAUAAGCCUGGGAAACUGGGUCUAAUACCGGAUAGGACCGCACUUUAGUGUGUGUGGUGGAAAGUUUUUUCGGUGUAGGAUGAGCCCGCGGCCUAUCAGCUUGUUGGUGGGGUAAUGGCCUACCAAGGCGGCGACGGGUAGCCGGACUGAGAGGUUGGUCGGCCACAUUGGGACUGAGAUACGGCCCAGACUCCUACGGGAGGCAGCAGUGGGGAAUAUUGCACAAUGGGCACAAGCCUGAUGCAGCGACGCCGCGUGGGGGAUGACGGCCUUCGGGUUGUAAACUCCUUUCGCCAGGGACGAAGCGUUUUGUGACGGUACCUGGAGAAGAAGCACCGGCUAACUACGUG